AUACCUUUCUCGGCCUUUUGGCUAAGAUCAAGUGUAGUAUCUGUUCUUAUCAGUUUAUAUGAUAUGUGAGCCAUGUGCCCACAACGAUAUUAAAUUUAUUUUUUGUGGGGUGAGGGUCCACCACAGUGGCUUGCCACUUGGGCCCUUGUGUGUCGCCCUGUGCCUUGCACAGUUGCACUACUGCCUAGGCUGGCGCAGCCCAA